UACAGAGGGUGCAAGCGUUGCUCGGAUUUACUGGGCGUAAAGCGUACGCAGACGGCCAGACAAGUCGGGUGUGAAAGCCCCGGGCUCAACCCGGGAACUGCAUUCGAAACUAUCGGGCUCGAGUAUGAGAGAGGAAAGCGGAAUUCCUGGUGUAGAGGUGAAAUUCGUAGAUAUCAGGAGGAACACCGGCGGCGAAGGCGGCUUUCUGGCUCAUUACUGACGUUCAGGUACGAAAGCGUGGGUAGCAAACAGG
rnacentral:rRNA from 1 species